rnacentral:rRNA from 1 species
AAUUUUGGACAAUGGGGGAAACGCUGAUCCAGCCAUCCCGCGCGUAUGAUGAAGGCCUUCGGGUUGUAAAGUACUUUGGGCAGAGAAGAAAAGGUAUCUCCUAAUACGAGAUACUGCUGACGGUAUCUGCAGAAUAAGCACCGGCUAACGACGUGCCAGCAGCCGCGGUAAUAAGUAGGGUGCAAGAGUUAAUCGGAAUUACAGGGCGUAAAGCGUGUGUAGGCGGUUCGAAAAGAAAGAUGUGAAAUCCCAGGGCUCAACCUUGGAACUGCAUUUUUAACUGCAAAGCUAGAGUAUGUCAGAGGGGGGUAGAAUUCCACGUGUAGCAGUGAAAUGCGUAGAUAUGUGGAGGAAUACCGAUGGCGAAGGCAGCCCCCUGGGAUAAUACUGACGCUCAGACACGAAAGCGUGGGGAGCAAACAGG